rnacentral:rRNA from 1 species
AUUGACCGCUGGCGGCAGGCUUAACACAUGCAAGUCGAGCGCGCGGCGGACGGGUGCGUAAUGUCUGGGAACCUGCCUGAUGGCGGGGGCUAACUACUGGAAACGGUAGCUACUACCGCAUACCAUCAGAUGUGCCCAGAUGGGAUUAGCUAGUAGGUGGGGUAAUGGCUAACCUAGGCUACGCUCCCUAGCUGGUCUGAGAGGAUUACCAGCCAGACGUGAACUGAGACACGGUCCAGACUCCUACGGGAGGCAGGAGUGGGGAAUAUUGCACAAUGGGCGCAAGCCUGAGGCAGCCAGGCCUCGUGUGUGAAGAAGGCCGGCGGGUUGUAAAGCACUUUCAGCGAGGAGGCGUUAAUCGCAGAAGAAGCACCGGCUAACUCCGUGCCAGCAGCCGGGGUAAUAC